rnacentral:rRNA from 1 species
UACCAGCACCCCGAGUGGUCGGGACGAUUAUUGGGCCUAAAGCAUCCGUAGCCGGUUCUACAAGUCUUCCGUUAAAUCCACCUGCUUAACAGAUGGGCUGCGGAGGAUACUAUGGAGCUAGGAGGCGGGAGAGGCAAGCGGUACUUAGUGGGUAGGGGUAAAAUCCGUUGAUCCAUUGAAGACCACCAGUGGCGAAGGCGGCUUGCCAGAACGCACUCGACGGUGAGGGAUAAAAGCUGGGGGAGCAAACCGG